CUGAAGGGCACAAGGCCCAAACUCUAGGCACCAAACGAAUUCAAUGCACAUACCAAAAUGCGUUCGAGCAACAACAAGUCCAUAAGCAGAAGUGGAAGAUCACGCUCACGUUUCCUAGGCUCUAGAAAUCUCAGUCGUGUUUCAACACCGCGGCUCACAUAUUCAUAUUCAAAAAUGGAUUCGACACAAAAACGAGUUGAAGAAACAUGGCUCAACGACUCACGUUCAACAUCUCAAACCGAUUCCUCAACGUGUGCGUGAAAAAACGGAAAAAUGAAUCGAAACCGAAUCGGAAAACUCACCGAGUUGAAGGGUUUUGUUGGUUUUGUUGUGAGUAACUUAGGAGCCUUAUUAAUCUGAUGAUGAAAUAGAUUUGGUUUGAUCUUUGCCAGUAUGAAGAUAAUCCUUGGACCCACCCGAAAUUGAUUUAACAAGGUGCACCACUUCACAAGGGUGCGCACUUCUGCACUGAUGUAUACCCAAUCACAAGGUGCACCACUUCACAAGGGUGCGCACUUCUGCACUGAUGUAUACCCAAUCACAAGGUGCGGCAAUGGAAAGCAAGGUAAAAAUCUUGGUUCAACAAAGGUAAUUUGACAUAGAAAUAUUAUUUUCAAUAUGAAGUCUUUGACUCUUAGUUUUGGUGCACUUGUCCUUGUCCCGUUUUGGACUGACUUAAUCUAUCUAUGCUCGUUCAAAUGGACCUGUCAUCCAAACCGAACUAGUUAGAAAUUAAUAGUUAGUGGUAAUUGUAUUAAUUAAUUUGAAGUGAAUUAGAAAGAAACUUAAUGGUGGAGAGAUUAAAUUCAAUAAGUUAUAUUGAGUAUGCUAAUUGAUGGCUUUGAAGAAUUAAUUAGAAAUCGAAUUGUUAGUCAGAACUUGGUUUGGAUUUAAGUUUUGAAAUUGGAAUGAAUGUUAAUGCCUUGGAUUCCAACUUGCAGAUAAAUGGAAUAUGCUCAACUGAACCGAGCCAAUUUAUUGGAAAGAAGAAUUUGGAUGGUUGCAAGUGCUUUGAACAUGUAGCUUGUAAUUGAAAUUGAAUUGUAACUUCGAAAUUUUUGUAAUUUUGGAUUGGAAUUUUGAAUGGAAAUGUGAAUAUGGAUUGGUUUAUAA